AGCAGCCGCGGUAAUUCCAGCUCCAAUAGCGUAUAUUAAAGUUGUUGCAGUUAAAAGCUCGUAGUUGAAUUUCGGGAUCAAUAUGUUGGUCGUGCCUCGGUACGUACUAGCAUAUUGGUUUCUCCUUUCUGAAGAACCAUGAUGUCAUUUAUUUGGUGUCGUGGGGAAUCAGGACUGUUACUUUGAAAAAAUUAGAGUGUUUAAAGCAGGCUCACGCUUGAAUACAUUAGCAUGGAAUAAUGAAAUAGGACGUUUGAUUCUAUUUUGUUGGUUUCUAGGAUCGACGUAAUGAUUAAUAGGGAUAGUUGGGGGCAUUAGUAUUCAAUUGUCAGAGGUGAAAUUCUUGGAUUUAUUGAAGACUAACUACUGCGAAAGCAUUUGCCAAGGAUGUUUUCAUUAAUCAAGAACGAAAGUUAGGGGAUCGAAGACGAUCAGAUACCGUCGUAGUCUUAACCAUAAACUAUGCCGACUAGGGAUCGGAUGAUGUUAAUUUUUUU
rnacentral:misc_RNA from 1 species